rnacentral:piRNA from 1 species
GUGUGAUUUAAUUACCAGGUUGCUUGUGGC